rnacentral:rRNA from 1 species
UACGUAGGGUGCGAGCGUUGUCCGGAAUUAUUGGGCGUAAAGGGCUCGUAGGCGGUCUGUUGCGUCGGGAGUGAAAACUCAGGGCUUAACCCUGAGCCUGCUUCCGAUACGGGCAGACUAGAGGUAUGCAGGGGAGAACGGAAUUCCUGGUGUAGCGGUGAAAUGCGCAGAUAUCAGGAGGAACACCGGUGGCGAAGGCGGGUCUCUGGGCAACAACUGACGCUGAGGAGCGAAGGCGUGGGGAGCGAACAGG